rnacentral:rRNA from 1 species
UACGGAGGGUGCAAGCGUUAAUCGGAAUAACUGGGCGUAAAGCGCACGCAGGCGGUUUGUUAAGCCAGAUGUGAAAGCCCGGGGCUCAACCUCGGAACUGCAUUUGGAACUGGCAGACUAGAGUCUUGUAGAGGGGGGUAGAAUUUCCAGUGUAGCGGUGAAAUGCGUAGAGAUUGGAAGGAAUACCAGUGGCGAAGGCGGCCCCCUGGACAAAGACUGACGCUCAGGUGCGAAAGCGUGGGGAGCAAACAGG